CUCAUGUGUUUCACCUGGGUUCAGUUAUUCCGUCUGUGUCAGGUCGUCUCUUCACUUUGGUUCUGUUCAGUCCAGCUCCUGUGUCUCUGUUUUGAGUUUCAGCUCUUGGAUCACCUGAGUUCUCUUACCAGCCUUCUGAGUAUUUUGACCCGACAACUGAUGAACUUUCUUCUAUGAAACUGCAGUUCAUGCCUCCGCCACUGAGGGUGCAGAGAGGGACAUUGCACUCGCAAUCAUGGGGAUAUACACUAUCUGAAGAGAUGGAGAUGUGGAGCCAGAGGACGUGGGAAUCGUGAUUGAAGGCAUCAAAGUCAUGGACAACUUAGGAAGGGUGAUAAUGGGGUUCAUCAUGCUGUUUGGGCUCAUUAAUGCUUUGAUCUGAGCUUUCCAGACAACCUCAAGUACACUUUCCAGUUUAUUCAGAAAUGAAUUUGAAUUGGCACAAGCUCUAUGCAAAGAUACAGCAGCUGAAAAUAAAGUUGUUUGCAUGAGCGGGAAACACAGCCGACAAAGUUCUGCGACCUCAGUGAUGUUUUCCUGGGUCCGACAUUUUUAAUGACUGGAUUUCCAUGAGCUGGGAGAAGUAUGUUCACACAUGGAAAUUCUGUCCACAUAACUUCCCCUUUCCAUCUAUGUGACUUUGACUCUGCUCUACACCACUUUUGUACUGCUGCUUUUAU